UUCGUUGUGUGUUGUUCUUAUUCAGUCAUUAUAACAUUUCCGAGAGUUUUAAAUAUAUAUUUUAGAGUUUAAACAACCUAUAUUAUUUAUUUGUGCUGUGCAGUGUGAUGAAAAUCCCUAUCCAUAUUACUUAAUAAAAAUGUGGUUACUUCCUUGGCUUUGUUUACUUUUGAUAUUUUGUUGCUGCUUUAAGUUUGGCGACCUUGCCUGCGGCUAAACAGAGACACUUGGCGAAAAUUCCGCCCACUGACCGCCCCCAAAUUUGUCGCCCACAACCAACAAGUGGGUGGUGAGAAAGGGGGAGGGGCCGGGCGAAGGAAAAUAAAAGGAAGAGCGUGCAAAAUACCGACGCAGCACGUGCCAAAAGUAACUCAAAACUGCGCAAACUCAGCGUCACUUGCGAAUGUGCAACGCACCGCGUGUAGCCGUUGUGGAUGCACUCAGAAAAACCAGUCCUAUGCUUGUUAUAUAUAGAACCAAUUUAUUAUUGUAAAAUUAAAUAUUCAUCUUUAAAAGGGACAAACCUUUACAAUCCAGGCAUGACAUCACUCAAAAAUAGAUCGAUAUUUUACUUUACAUUUCUUAUCGGGUGUGUGUAUCUUAAGACACACAAAUACUAUUCAAGUAACACAAAUUAAUUGUGCAUAUUAAAAUACAUACAUUUCUUAGACUUUUCGAUUGAAUUGAUUUCUUGGCUUCAGAAAAAAAUUUUAAAUGUAUACAAUAGAAAAAAAACGUCCAAACAAAAUUAUUUCCAUUGCUAACGAUUCCUGCAAUUUUUUGACAUCAAAAGCAUUCUCUUAAAAUAAAAGCCGGUUAUUAUAAUCGCUUAUCUAGAAACGUGUUUGCGUUAAAAUGACAAGUAAAAAAUUAUUUUGUUUUAUUUAUAUCAUCAUUGUCUUUGCAUUUUUUUUUAAAUAAAUGUCGAAGCCCUUGGUAACUAAUUUGAAUGGCUUUGUUAGUAUC